CCCUGCACUACAAUGAAAUCCCUACUUGAAAUGCUGUUGGGUGGAGCGUGUGCACAGGGCCUUCAUCAUGGAGCUGAAUUUAUGAAAUUGAUGCAUUUGUCGUGCGAGGACAGUUCAGCCCGAGCCGGACAGCAGUAAAACGAGGGGACACCAGCAGGACCUGCAGCAGACAAAGAGCUGUCUGUGCUCAGGAAGAGGCCUUCCUGGCUCUGAUGUGGCGAGCUGCACUACCUGUGACACACACGCCGAGUUCCUGUGUUGAGAGUAUGAUGUCUGCUGCACGCGCUCGCCGGUGGCAGGGCGCUGACUGACAGGAACACACACACACUUCGCGAGUCCUCACGGGGGGGCUUCCCUGAGGCGAUCGGGGUGGGAGUGAGAGAGGUGAUUAUGUGCAGCAGGAGUGUGGAGGAUUGUUGGAGAAGUUUGCUGGGAAGGUGGAGGAGCUUCGAAGAUGGAGGAACAGCUGGAAAUGAAGAGGCGCCCGUGUUCGUGUCUGAAUGGGGACACAAAGCCUGAAAGGAGCAGAAAAGUCUUUGUUUAUGUUGAGAUUUAAAACUGCUGUGGAAGGCAGAAAAAUGCUUCGUGGUGGGGCUGAUUAUCUCCCUAAACUGAAUACAAAUCUUAAACCCCCGUUACUCGCUUUAUCUCUCAUCUCCUUUUUCCCCCUCUGCUCCUCUUGCAGCCAAUCAAAGCCCCAAAUGAAUUAUGGAAGAAAAAGAAGAAGAAGAAGCAGCUGCAUYUGAACGCCUGCAUGGCUGAAUUUCCAUAUAGAUAGUGGAGAACAUUAAACUUGUCUGUCCACUCACCCUCUUAUUACAUUUUGAUGCAACGUUGGCAGCUUCAUCUACACCACCCUGUCUGUUUUUGGCCUCCAUGUGUUGUUUUUAUCUGACUCAGACACUUGAUUGUCCCUGACCCCAUGUUGACCCCCUAUAAACAGGAACCUGCUGUCUGCUCUUCCUCUUGCAGAAUCUACAGUUUAAAGGGGACAAGUUUUUAGCCAUUAAAUACAUUUUGUUGUGUGCUUGGAGCCGUGCAGAAA